rnacentral:misc_RNA from 1 species
AUAAAAAGGGAACUGAU